rnacentral:rRNA from 1 species
AUUGAACGCUGGCGGCGUGCCUAACACAUGCAAGUCGAGCGGCAGCGCGGGGCAACCUGGCGGCGAGCGGCGGACGGGUGAGCAAUGCUUGGGAAUCUGCCUAUCAGUGGGGGACAACCCGGGGAAACUCGGGCUAAUACCGCAUACGUUCUUCGGAAGAAAGCAGGGGAUCGCAAGACCUUGCGCUGAUAGAUGAGCCCAAGUCGGAUUAGCUAGUUGGUGAGGUAACGGCUCACCAAGGCGACGAUUCGUAGCUGGUCUGAGAGGACGACCAGCCACACCGGAACUGAGACACGGUCCGGACUCCUACGGGAGGCAGCAGUGGGGAAUUUUCCACAAUGGGCGAAAGCCUGAUGGAGCAAUACCGCGUGAGGGAGGAA